CUUAGCUGUUAUGAGUCACUCCGGCUUAAAAGAGGAUUUUGCUUUCAGAUGCCUUUUGCCUUAAAAGUGGCAUCACUGAAGGGGACAGCUGUUACUGCUGUGGGAGAUCAAGAGCUCCUUCCAGUUGCAUCUUCUGUGUCAUCUGCAAAACCCCCAGUUACAAUCCCCAGUGUGCUGGCUGCAGAGAGGCCACCUUGUCAACUGGGAUCCCAUCAAGUGCUCUGAGCUCCUGUCCCUCCAUCAGAACUGAAGAGGUGCAGCAUGGCUCACAACUGCCUGCAGUGUAUCAAGUACCUAAUGUUUGUUUUCAACCUUCUCUUCUGGGUGAGUACACUUUUGGAACCGUGAAACGGUUUUUGUGUCUGUUUACUGAGGUGGAAGAUGAACUUGUUGCUG
rnacentral:lncRNA from 1 species